rnacentral:misc_RNA from 1 species
GCACAUUUUAAUAAAUCCUCACCGACAAUUCAUCAUCUUCAUGGGCUAUAAACAACAAUAGGACUUCUCACAACAUGUCGAGCACCAAUCCAAGCAAGAGAACCCGACACCAUUUUCCCCGACGGCAAAGGACUUGCCUUCACAACAACCUUAAAACUCUUCUUCUGCAGCAACCGUGAAAAUGACAGAGUGGUCGGCGUAACUGUGAUCUCCACCCCUGGAGGAGCCUUGAUGGUGGCAUUGUAGACAGAGACGGGGUGAGCCACGUUAGUGACUCGUCGUCGAAACGUAGUGGUGGUCGGUCUUUGGGUGCUUUUGAGGCUGAGUUGAAAGGUUGGAUAAUUGAGAGCGUCAUGUCCUUGGCCGGGGAUUAGAGUGGAGCAGUUUAUGGUUUUGGUUCCGGCGAGGACGGCGAUUGAAGAUCCGGUGUAGCCUUCGCGGCAAAGGAAUUGGAUGUACGACAUUUCAUUGAGAUCGUAGAUUAGACCAGGACUUAUGGCUCUUGAUGGAUUUAGGUUGCCAGCGCCGUACGCAAAUUCGCCGUCCGGGUUUAGUCGUCGGCUUAUCGGUCUCGCUUCACAGUAGGAAUAAAAAUGUUAAUAAUUUAUAAUACUUAACAUCGGAGUUUUGUAAUUAUUGUUGCUUGUUAUGCUUUUUUUGUAUGAUUUCUUGUUAUUUGGAGUGUAAAA